AUUUAGGUAGCUUAAUUUAAAGCAUAUUUCUGAAGAAAAUAAAAUGGUUUGCCCCCUAAAUA
rnacentral:tRNA from 1 species